rnacentral:rRNA from 1 species
AUUGAACGCUGGCGGCAGGCCUAACACAUGCAAGUCGAGCGGAUGAGAGGAGCUUGCUCCUUGAUUUAGCGGCGGACGGGUGAGUAAUGCCUAUGAAUCUGCUUGGUAGUGGGGGAUAACGUUCCGAAAGGAACGCUAAUACCGCAUACGUCCUACGGGAGAAAGCAGGGGACCUUCGGGCCUUGCGCUAUCAGAUGAGCCUAGGUCGGAUUAGCUAGUUGGUGAGGUAAUGGCUCACCAAGGCGACGAUCCGUAACUGGUCUGAGAGGAUGAUCAGUCACACUGGAACUGAGACACGGUCCAGACUCCUACGGGAGGCAGCAGUGGGGAAUAUUGGACAAUGGGCGAAAGCCUGAUCCAGCCAUGCCGCGUGUGUGAAGAAGGUCUUCGGAUUGUAAAGCACUUUAAGUUGGGAGGAAGGGCAGUAAGCUAAUACCUUGCUGUUUUGACGUUACCGACAGAAUAAGCACCGGCUAACUUCGUG